rnacentral:lncRNA from 1 species
GGGAAGUCCAGCUAUCAGGGAAGCUUCCCCAAUCAGGGAAGCAUGAAGUUUUAACCACUGGACCGUCAGAGAAGUUCCUCUUUUUACAUUUUUUAAUGUAGCUACCAGAAAAUUGAAAAUUAAGUGCAUGGCUCACAUUUUUGCCUUGCGUUACAUUUCUUUUGAACAGUGAGCGCUGUUCUGGAACCUCACCACUUAGUGUUGUCCCUGCUCAAGCAGCAUCAGCAUUUCCAGAAAGCUCGUGAGGAAUAGACUCUCAGAGCUCAGCCCAGACCUAAAGAAUCAGAAUCUUCAUUUUAGUCAGAUUCCUGGGGGAUUCAAGUGCGAGAAGCUGCCCUCAGAGGACUUCCUGUAGGUUCAGCUGAUCCGUCUGCUUCCAGGAAGGCAUGCUGGUGUGGCCACUGCACGGUGACAUACUGGACAGCAAAACAGCAAAUGCUGGGAUAGACCGGACCCUUUGACACCCAAGUCUUGUGAACUAGGGGACAGAGCCAAGAAGAGUGAGGUCAGCUUUUCACUGUGGCCUGGUUUUCUCCUCUUCUCUGGAUAAGUGAGAUAACUCAUGGAGCUUCAUGAAUGCUCAGUAGACCUCCUACCUAUAAAUAAUGGGAGAUUUUUCAAUAUUCAGAGAAAAGAAUGAGGAGACCUGAGGGAGAACUAAACAUGUAUCUUCUGCUGUGCGUGGAAAUGAUGAUUUUCAUAAAGAAAAUAAAUGUACAUGCAAUAAAGCCCAGAGAUAUAAAUGCAGAAAUGAAUAACAGGCUCAAGGCCACAAAGAUGACAAAUCACCAGGUGAUUACGCUGUGGGCUCUCUGUAUGUACAGCAAGCUCUUUGAGAACAGAGAAGACCCCCCAGAUUGAAGUGAAGGGGAAGCUUCUUAGAGGAAGGAGGAGAGGCUGGAAAUUCUUUUUAUGAACAUAUGGAGUAUGGCCUUUUCCAGGGAAGGCAAUGGAGUCCCCUAAAGACGCUGAAGAUUGGGGAAUAACGAUGAGAAGUUCAGCGGCCCUUGAGGCUGUGGUGAGGUCCUAGGAGGACAGGACCCUAAACAAGAGCCCAUUACCAGCACUGGAUUCAAU